UAAUGAAUCCCUUUAGUUCAGAGAUCAAAAGGAUGAUUGGAAGCUUCCCUGACAGUUUUAUGUCAUUGCCAUCUGUCUGUCCUGCUGUGUUUUCCCUCCUGGACUUCCAAGGUGCUAUUUCCUCUUGCUGGAAGCUACUUCUUCUACAGCAAGUGUGGCAGAAAGCAAAGCAUGACAGCAUCACCCUUUGGAAACCUGUAAGUUCAUGCAGAUUCUCUUUGGCUGUACCCUCACUUUGUUGCUCCUGCUGUGGUGUGAUAACCUCUGACAGGAGUGUGAAGCAGAUAGCAGGUAAAUCCCCCCAGGGAGAGUCAUCACCUGACAUCCUUCUGUGUUCCCCUGAAUCACAGCUUGGUUUUAGUCCUUUAAAGUACCAGCUGCUGCUCUUGUUAGAGUUGCAGUUGAAAUCCCUUUCUGUUUAGGGCUUUUCACUAGUAUUUACCAUAUGAAAAAUGCCCUCAGGUGGUACAGUGACUUAGAAAGACUGCAGUUUGCUUCCCUUCCCACUGCAGAUGUACGGAGCCAUGUUGCAAGCCAAAUGUCUGAAAGAUCCACAUGAACACUAUUCCCUGUGCAGCACUGUGCAUCUUCUGCUUCCCUUUUCCAGUCAUUUCCUGGUGCAGAGAUACAGGUGAAAUGUAAAGAGAAAAUUCAGUGCAUUGCUUCCACAGCCUUCAUAUUUUGGAUUAUCUCAUUCCAGUCCCAGCAGCUAUGAAUAAACAGGAAUAUCUCCUGCCAGCAUAUGGAAAUGGCAUUGCCUGGAAGCCCACCCCUGUUCUGAAGCAGUGGGUUCAAAAAUACACUGUGCAAAAGUGAUGUCUCCGGAACUGUUUGCAUUAAAUAAACCUGUCAGGAUGCCAGCCCAGCUUUACUUUUACCAUGUAGCUUCCAUCACAGAAUACAGUAAUAAAGGCAUCCAAAAGCCCAGUGAGUUUUUGUUGUUGGAGUAACACUGCAGGUGUCUGCUGGGUUCAUCCCUUGACAGUCCAAAGGUGUCUGAAGAAGACUGACAGACUUCGGUCCCAUCUAUUCCUGUAUCCACACACUGGAGAAUGUGUUGGAUAUGAUCUUGGUCACUGACCUUUUGAAAACACCUACUCUGCAUGUCUUUUGUGAGACUCCUCAAAAUACACAUGGAAUAAAACCAGUGACAU